UGACGAAGAAGAGGAAGAGGAUUUUGCCAGGAGGUUUUUGCUCAGCACCGACGUCGCGUACGUGAUAACGAACGAGAACAACAGCAACACCGAUAUCACGACGCAACAUGAAUGACCCGGGAGAAUGGAAUCGUUGGAGACGUCGGCCCCAGCCUCACCCUUACUACCAAGUUCCGGCUGACCGAUGGAUUGCUGGCGAGGACAUGUGGAGAGAGCAUCCAGCUUACCCGCAGCUUGGUCAGCGCCGAUUCCAUGAUCGCGGCAUGGCAGGAGUUCCGGGCCGUGGCCAGUACUACGAGGUUCCGCGGCCCGCUCCUAGAGGGCCCUAUGCGGUGCGCCAGGAACCACCACCCAUGGCCCGUCAUGGAGCUAAUGUGGCUCCCGCGUACCAAGCUCCUCUUCGUCCUUCCGCAGUUCUUCCUCGCGAAGCAGGGCCAGCUCCGCGGCCGUUGCCUUUCGUGCACAAGCAGGCACCUUCUGCUCCCGCCCCUCCACAGACACCAGCAGCGCCUACCACAUCAUUGCAAUCCCAUCACCAGCAACCACCAGCCGCUGCAGCACCUCCAGUGGCUGCGGUGCAGUCUAUGCCAGCUACAGCGUCUUGGCCCCUACAAGCGACCAGAGUGCCAUAUGUGCCCGCGCCAAAGCCUGCUCCUGCGAUGAUUGCAGCCGCACCCACAA